ensembl:lncRNA
GAGAAUGUGUGGUAAUUCUACUCUAUACUCCACAGAAACAUCCAAACAUGAAUGGAUCGAUACUUCCAAUCUGCCUGGCUCUAUGUCUGGCUGGCUGGGCUGUAUCUGGCGCUUCUAUUGAAGCUCAGAAGACCUCCUCUGUCUGUUACCUCUGUAACGAUACUCAAUGCCAAAAUAUUGAGUCUGUUUAUGACCAUUUGACGACUAAUUCGACCCUGUGGUCACGAGGUGAAAUGGCUAAGCUGCCUCCCUGUCCCACAACCUCCCCUCCACCAUCUGGAAAAUGCUUGUUGUGUGUUAAGAGUCAGGAGGUCUACACUGCGUGUGACUCAAAGAUCAUCAAGCCAGCCUUUGAGGGCCAAGGCAGCUCCAUGCCUGUCAUCGAAGCCAAUUGCACUGACAUUGUUUCAACUGAUCAGACGGAUCCAAUUGCCCCCACAAUGACCCCUGAUGGCACUGGCAGGUUAUCCAAGGAAACAAGAUUCGCUAUUGUGUCAAUCCCAAUUGCCUUCUCCGUCAUCUUCAUACUCAUUGUUGUUUUGCGCAGAAGGACCAGAUCAAGUG